rnacentral:rRNA from 1 species
GUUGUGGUUAAAAAGCUCGUAGUUGGAUCUCGGCAAACUGAGGGCGGUUUACUUGCUAGUACUACUGCCCUAUAGUUUGUAUUAUUGCUGGAGGUUUAGAGGUGAUCUUAAUCGAUUGUCUCUGGAUGCCAGCAGGUUUACUUUGAAAAGAUUAGAGUGCUCAAAGCAGGCUUAUACGCCUGAAUAUUCGUGCAUGGAAUAAUAGAAUAGGAACUUGUUCUUAUUUUGUUGGUUUUCGAGAAUCAAGUUAAUGAUUAAUAGGGACAGUUGGGGGCAUUUGUAUUCAAGCGAAAGAGGUGAAAUUCUUGGACCGUUUGAAGACAAACUACUGCGAAAGCAUUUGCCAAGAAUGUUUUCAUUAAUCAAGAACGAAAGUUAGAGGUUCGAAGGCGAUUAGAUACCGCCCUAGUUCUAACCAUAAACGAUGCCAGCUAGCGAUCUGCCU